rnacentral:rRNA from 1 species
AGUGAACGCUGGCGGUAGGCCUAACACAUGCAAGUCGAACGGCAGCACAGUAAGAGCUUGCUCUUACGGGUGGCGAGUGGCGGACGGGUGAGGAAUACAUCGGAAUCUACUUUUUCGUGGGGGAUCACGUAGGGAAACUUACGCUAAUACCGCAUACGACCUACGGGUGAAAGCAGGGGAUCUUCGGACCUUGCGCGAUUGAAUGAGCCGAUGUCGGAUUAGCUAGUUGGCGGGGUAAAGGCCCACCAAGGCGACGAUCCGUAGCUGGUCUGAGAGGAUGGUCGGCCACACUGGAACUGAGACACGGUCCAGACGCCUACGGGAGGCAGCAGUGGGGAAUAUUGGACAAUGGGCGCAAGCCUGAUCCAGCCAGACCGCGUGUGUGAAGAAGGCCUUCGGGUUGUAAAGCCCUUUUGUGGGGAAAGAAAAGCAGCAGGUUAAGACCCCGCUGUUCUGACGGUACCCAAAGAAUAAGCACCGGCUAACUUCGUG